UAGGGAAUUUUCGUCAAUGGGGGAACCCUGAACGAGCAAUGCCGCGUGUGUGAAGAAGGUCUUCGGAUCGUAAAGCACUGUUGUAAGUGAAGAAUGCCAUAUAGAGGAAAUGCUAUGUGGGUGACGGUAGCUUACCAGAAAGCCACGGCUAACUACGUGCCAGCAGCCGCGGUAAUACGUAGGUGGCAAAGCGUUAUCCGGAAUCAUUGGGCGUAAAGGGUGCGUAGGUGGCACGAUAAGUCUGAAGUAAAAGGCAACAGCUCAACUGUUGUAUGCUUUGGAAACUGUCGAGCUAGAGUGCAGAAGAGGGCGAUGGAAUUCCAUGUGUAGCGGUAAAAUGCGUAGAUAUAUGGAGGAACACCAGUGGCGAAGGCGGUCGCCUGGUCUGUAACUGACACUGAUGCACGAAAGCGUGGGGAGCAAAUAGGAUUAGAUACC
rnacentral:rRNA from 1 species